rnacentral:rRNA from 1 species
CCAAUAGCGUAUAUUAAAGUUGUUGCAGUUAAAAAGCUCGUAGUUGAACUUCGGGAUCAAUUGAUUGGUCAUGCCUUGGUAUGUACUGUUCAUAUUGGUUCUCACCUUCUAAUGAACCAUAAUGUCAUUUAUUUGAUGUUAUGGGGAAUUAGGACUGUUACCUUGAAAAAAUUAGAGUGUUUAAAGCAGGCUCACGCUUGAAUACAUUAGCAUGGAAUAAUGAAAUAGGACAUCGCAUUCUAUUUUGUUGGUUUCUAGGAUCGAUGUAAUGAUUAAUAGGGAUAGUUGGGGGCAUUAGUAUUCAAUUGUCAGAGGUGAAAUUCUUGGAUUUAUUGAAGACUAACUACUGCGAAAGCAUUUGCCAAGGAUGUUUUCAUUAAUCAAGAACGAAAGUUAGGGGAUCGAAGACGAUCAGAUACCGUCGUAGUCUUAACCAUAAACUAUGCCGACUAGGGAUCGGAUGAUGUUGAUUUUUUAAUGACUCAUUCGGCACCUUACG